rnacentral:rRNA from 1 species
UACCGGCGGCUCGAGUGGUGGCCGCUAUUACUGGGCUUAAAGGGUCCGUAGCUUGAUAACUGGGUCCCUUGAGAAAUCCGCUGGCUUAACUUGCGGGCGUUCAGGGGAAACUUGUUUUCUUGGGACCGGGAGAGGUGAGGGGUACUGCCGGGGUAGGAGUGAAAUCCUGUAAUCCCGGUGGGACCACCUAUGGCGAAGGCAUCUCACCAGAACGGGUCCGACAGUGAGGGACGAAAGCUGGGGGAGCAAA